UACAGAGGUCUCAAGCGUUGUUCGGAUUCAUUGGGCGUAAAGGGUGCGUAGGUGGCGCUGUAAGUCGGGUGUGAAAUUUCGGAGCUUAACUCCGAAACUGCAUUCGAUACUGCGGUGCUUGAGGACUGGAGAGGAGACUGGAAUUCAUGGUGUAGCAGUGAAAUGCGUAGAGAUCAUGAGGAAGACCAGUGGCGAAAGGCGGGUCUCUGGACAGUUCCUGACACUGAGACACGAAGGCCAGGGGAGCAAACGGG
rnacentral:rRNA from 1 species